UUGCCCCUGCGAUGUGCGUUGAAAAAGUAGAUAUUUGAAAGAACCUAUACCCAUACUCGGGGAAGCAAGGUCUUGGCGGAUCGAAUAAGCCUGCUUUGACAGGAUUUUUGGACGCGAGCAACAGCUGCCCACUUUGAGAUUUGGGUUCUUUUCAAAUGCUUUUUUACGGCAUAGGCGGAGGUACC
rnacentral:other from 1 species